rnacentral:rRNA from 1 species
UACCCGAAUAAGAAGGUCCGGCUAACUUCGUGCCAGCAGCCGCGGUAAUACGAAGGGACCUAGCGUAGUUCGGAAUUACUGGGCUUAAAGAGUUCGUAGGUUGUUGAAAAAGUUGGUGGUGAAAUCCCAGAGCUUAACUCUGGAACUGCCAUCAAAACUUUUCAGCUAGAGUUUGAUAGAGGAAAGCAGAAUUUCUAGUGUAGAGGUGAAAUUCGUAGAUAUUAGAAAGAAUACCAAUUGCGAAGGCAGCUUUCUGGAUCAUUACUGACACUGAGGAACGAAAGCAUGGGUAGCGAAGAGGAUUAGAUACCCUCGUAGUCCAUGCCGUAAACGAUGUGUGUUAGACGUUGGAAAUUUAUUUUCAGUGUCGCAGCGAAAGCGAUAAACACACCGCCUGGGGAGUACGACCGCAAGGUUAAAACUCAAAUGAAUUGACGGGGACCCGCACAAGUAGUGGAGCAUGUGGUUUAAUUCGAAGAUACGCGCAGAACCUUACCAACACUUGACAUGUUCGUCGCGACUUUAAGAGAUUAAAGUUUUCGGUUCGGCCGGACGAAACACAGGUGCUGCAUGGCUGUCGUCAGCUCGUGUCGUGAGAUGUUGGGUUAAGUCCCGCAACGAGCGCAACCCUCACUUUUAGUUGCCAUCAUUAAGUUGGGCACUCUGAAAGAACUGCCAGUGAUAAGCUGGAGGAAGGUGGGGAUGACGUCAAGUCCUCAUGGCCCUUACGUGUUGGGCUACACACGUGCUACAAUGGUAUCUACAACAGGAAGCAAGACGGCGACGUUAAGCAAAUCCUUAAAAGAUACCUCAGUUCGGAUUGUACUCUGCAACUCGAGUACAUGAAGCUGGAAUUACUAGUAAUCGUGGAUCAGCGUGCCACGGUGAAUGCGUUCCCGGGUCUUGUACACACCGCCCGUCACACCAUGGGAGUUGGUUCUACCUUAAGGCAAGGUUUAAAACCCUUGACCACGGUAUAGUCAGCGACUGGGGUGAAGUCGUAACAAGGUAGCCGUAGGGGAACCUGCGGCUG